CCUGUACAACAGAGAUGGCAAGGUGGAGUACUUGCUUGAGGUCCAGGUUCAUCCUCUUCUGGUGGAGAACAAUUCAGGGGCGAGGCGAGGAGAACCUGCCUGGAGACAACGUGCUGCGUGCGGCAGCGACGAGCCAGGUGGGCUGGGCAUGGCCAGGACCAAGCUGAGGGGGUGGCGACCAAUCUCGCGCGGCGGUGACGAGGCAGUGCUGGCUGCGACCAAACUUGUCCUCUUGUUCUGCCUCAAUAAGUGUUGCUGCUUGUCCUAUUGCACCAUAAUUACUCUGAAAUUUUUGAAAAAAGCAAGUUUAAUACUCCAAAAAGGGAAAAACAAACAAACCAUAGAUCUUAUCUCUAGGUUGCUUAACCCUGAAACAACGUAUCUUCUGCAAUGUACACCUGCAUUUAGUAGUAGUAAUGCCAUCUAGAUAAUGCAAGAGUAGUAGUAACUGAAACUUCCAUGUAAAUUUAACUGAAACUUCUGCAUUUGUACUCUGUAAGAUUCUAGCUGUAGAGACAAAAUGCUCCUUCAUUUGAUUAGCAUUUAACUACAAUAAUGUUUAGAUUGGUUGCAACAAACAAAAUACAGAUAUGUCAAUGAGUAAAUUUCUUAUUAAUAUGGUCCGGUUGCAGAAAUACAGAUCAUUCAACUCUAGGAUCCAGAAUGCAUUAAACAAAAUUAAAACAAUGUACUGGUACUCAUUUGGUCAAUCUGCUACUGUACUCAUUUGACAGAUUUGUAUUUUGAUAUAAUCCAUUUCAUAGUGAUGUUUCUUGACACACAAGUGAUACUGUGCAGACAAGUGACAAUUCUUCUUUAAAUUACAAAUGUUGUAUUUACAAGUAACUACUCCAUGUUUACUUGUCACUGUUUGCAAAUGAGAAAUUGUAAAUGUUUACUCCAUGUUUACUUCUCACUGUUUGCAAAUGAGUAAUGUUUCGACAAGGAGUACUGUGCAGUAGGAGUACAAUACUCUGUAUUUUGACAAACAAGUGCAGCAUCUCAUGUGUGAUUAUGCAUUUAUCUGAACCAAUGCAUUUAACUGAAUCUAUGCCGAAUCUAACUGAUCCUUGUACUGAUACUCCAGUCUGUUUGCAGAAUUUACAGU